UAGGGAAUCUUCCGCAAUGGACGAAAGUCUGAUGGAGCAACGCCGCGUGAGUGAAGAAGGGUUUCGGCUCGUAAAACUCUGUUGUUAAAGAAGAACAUAUCUGAGAGUAACUGUUCAGGUAUUGACGGUAUUUAACCAGAAAGCCACGGCUAACUACGUGCCAC
rnacentral:rRNA from 1 species